AAAGGGGUUCUGUGACGUCUCAAGUCCAUCAUCGGAGCACUGACACAAGCUUUAGGUUUAAAUAGAAGAAGAAUUUGGGCAGGGGGAUGUGAGGACAUCAGAGACCAUUGUCUGAAGGUGGCUGGGGUGGGGGUUGAUGGGAUGGGAGGCUUUGCUAUUCUCAGAAUCCACGAGCUUGGGACAAUGACUACAGAACUUCUGGUGCGUUUCGGGGCUUUGGAACAGGAUAUUGUAAAAGUUGAAGUGUCUGGCAGAGAGUGGCUGCCUGAAGAAGGGGAGUCUGAAAGACCAGAGGAAGGAAUGAAUACCUGUUGAUUCUGGAGACAGGAAACGCCUCCAGCUUUGUUCCACUGGUGAUUCAGGGCCCACUGAGAGCUCAGUCUCAACUGCCUCCUGCCAGCCCCAGCAUCCCAUGCAAUGGAGUGGAAGGGUGGGAAGUCCCCUAGAGCAGCAUAAACUGAUCAUCCAGCUACCCACCCCUUCCCAGCGAGGCCUGACUGUGGGUGGGGAGGUCUGAGUUGAGGGCUCCCGCCCUUCUCCCCCUUCUCCAAGGAAGACGACAAACUUGUGACUCAGGGAAAGGCAGAAGUUGAGUCAGCCAAGCCACAAGCUGUGGAAAAAAUGAAGUUUCCUGGAGGCCUUUUCUGCUUCUUUGGCUAAAAAUCCUUUCUGGGAAAAGCUGGUUUCCAGACUGCAGGAACUAGGGAGUGAGCAAAGACCCAGGCUCAGCAGGCCCAAGCUAGUCUUUCUUUCUUUUUUUUCAAAACCCUGUGAGAAAAAAAUGCCUGGAAUUUU